rnacentral:rRNA from 1 species
ACGAAGGGUGCAAGCGUUACUCGGAAUUACUGGGCGUAAAGCGUGCGUAGGUGGUUUGUUAAGUCUGAUGUGAAAGCCCUGGGCUCAACCUGGGAACUGCAUUGGAAACUGGCUUACUAGAGUGCGGUAGAGGGGUGUGGAAUUCCGCGUGUAGCAGUGAAAUGCGUAGAGAUGCGGAGGAACACCGAUGGCGAAGGCAGCCCCCUGGGCUGACACUGACGCUCAGGCACGAAAGCGUGGGGAGCAAACAGGA